rnacentral:lncRNA from 1 species
CCAAAUACAGCUAACACUUAUCUAUAUAUAUAAAAGAGUGAUGGCAUCACGGCAAUUCACAAAACAACAAAAGUACAGGCCCCCCAACCUCAAAAUUUGACAACACAACCCAUCAUCCACGCCUCUAGGUUGAUACAACAAAAAGAAAAGAAAAAUAAAGUCCUAAUUAGAGAGAGGAAUAAUUGCUUUUAUCCAAUUGCUGCCAGUUAGAAGGCUAAGCUCCUCCAACUUGGGUCUCCUAGCAACCCAAUAAAAAAUAAUAAAAAACACUAAAAAUUAAUACAAUAAAAUACUACAAUAACAGAAAAUAACUAAAAAUAAUACAAGAAAAAUAAUAACAUAUAAUAAAUAAAAAUAUAACUUACAAUAAAAUUAAUUAAAAAAUACAAAUAACGUCAAAUAAAAAUUACACAACAAUUCUUAACCAAUACCACCACCACUUUGCCACAGCAACGCGUGGCCGGGCACAGCUAGUCUAUAUAUAUAAAAGAGUGAUGGCAUCAGGCAGCGGACAAAACAACAAAACUACAGGCCCCCCAACCUUGAAAUUUGACAACACAACCCAUCAUCCAUGCCUCUAGGUUGAUACAAGAAAAACAAAAGAAAAAUUAAGUCCUAAUUAGAGGGAGAACAAUAAUUGUUUUUAUCCAAUUGCUGCCAGUUACAAAGCUAAGUUGGUCUCCUAGCAACCCACUCAGCCCAGGGAACAGGCACAAGAGUUUGGAGAGAACCCUAAGGGCCAUCCAGCCCAGCAGAACACAAUCCAAGCAUUCACAACACAUGGACAACAUAUAAAUACUAUACAAUACUACACAGGGACAUAGACCCCCUCUACCCUCACCACUUUCACAGUACACAAACAACCAAAUGCAUACUAAACAUAAGGACAACCAUACAACAGACAUUCAAAUCACAAUCCGGACCCAUAAAACUCACAACAAUGCAUCGUGACUAUAACAACACAACUAAACGCCCCAGAAAUACGAAACUUGGCACACAACUAAAUGCCCCAGAAAUACAAAACUUGACAACACAACGCAAAAGCCUUGCCUCCCGGUUGUAA